CCGAGUUUACAACUCCCAAACCCCUGUGAACAUACCACUUGUUGCCUCGGCGGAUCAGUCCCGCUCCCGGUAAAACGGGACGGCCCGCCAGAGGACCCCUAAACUCUGUUUCUAUAUGUAACUUCUGAGUAAAACCAUAAAUAAAUCA
rnacentral:misc_RNA from 1 species